rnacentral:rRNA from 1 species
UGCCCUAGUAACGGCGAGUGAAGCGGCAACAGCUCAAAUUUGAAAUCUGGCUUCGGCCCGAGUUGUAAUUUGCAGAGGAUGUUUCUGGCGCGGUGCCUUCCGAGUUCCCUGGAACGGGACGCCAUAGAGGGUGAGAGCCCCGUAUGGUUGGAUACUAAGCCUGUGUGAAACUCCUUCAACGAGUCGAGUAGUUUGGGAAUGCUGCUCAAAAUGGGAGGUAAAUCUCUUCUAAAGCUAAAUACCGGCCAGAGACCGAUAGCGCACAAGUAGAGUGAUCGAAAGAUGAAAAGCACCUUGAAAAGGGGGUUAAACAGUACGUGAAAUUGUUGAAAGGGAAGCGUUCAUGACCAGACUUGUGCUCAGUAGCUCAUCCGGGGUUCUCCCCGGUGCAUUCUACUGUGUUCAGGCCAGCAUCGAUUUUUGCUGGGGGAUAAGAACGGUAGGAACGUGGCCCUCCUUCGGGUGGGUGUUAUAGCCUACCGUACGAUACCCUGGCGGAGAUCGAGGUUCGCGCUUCUGCAAGGAUGCUGGCGUAAUGGUCAUCAACGACCCGUCUUGAAACACGGACCAAGGAGUCGUCCAUUAGAGCGAGCGUUUGGGUGUCAAACCCGCACGCGUAAUGAAAGUGAAAUUAGGUGAGAGCUUCGGCGCAUCAUCGACCGAUCCUGAUGUUCUCGGAUGGAUUUGAGUAAGAGUUUUAACGGACGGACCCGAAAGACAGUGAACUAUGCUUGUAUAGGGUGAAGCCAGAGGAAACUCUGGUGGAGGCUCGCAGCGGUUCUGACGUGCAAAUCGAUCGUCAAAUAUGAGCAUGG